rnacentral:rRNA from 1 species
AUUGAACGCUGGCGGCAGGCCCUAACACAUGCAAGUCGAGCGGAUGAAGAGAGCUUGCUCUCUGAUUCAGCGGCGGACGGGUGAGUAAUGCCUAGGAAUCUGCCUGGUAGUGGGGGACAACGUCUCGAAAGGGACGCUAAUACCGCAUACGUCCUACGGGAGAAAGCAGGGGACCUUCGGGCCUUGCGCUAUCAGAUGAGCCUAGGUCGGAUUAGCUAGUUGGUGAGGUAAUGGCUCACCAAGGCGACGAUCCGUAACUGGUCUGAGAGGAUGAUCAGUCACACUGGAACUGAGACACGGUCCAGACUCCUACGGGAGGCAGCAGUGGGGAAUAUUGGACAAUGGGCGAAAGCCUGAUCCAGCCAUGCCGCGUGUGUGAAGAAGGUCUUCGGAUUGUAAAGCACUUUAAGUUGGGAGGAAGGGCUGUAGAUUAAUACUCUGCAAUUUUGACGUUACCGACAGAAUAAGCACCGGCUAACUCUGUGCCAGCAGCCGCGGUAAUACAGAGGGUGCAAGCGUUAAUCGGAAUUACUGGGCGUAAAGCGCGCGUAGGUGGUUUGUUAAGUUGGAUGUGAAAGCCCCGGGCUCAACCUGGGAACUGCAUUCAAAACUGACAAGCUAGAGUAUGGUAGAGGGUGGUGGAAUUUCCUGUGUAGCGGUGAAAUGCGUAGAUAUAGGAAGGAACACCAGUGGCGAAGGCGACCACCUGGACUGAUACUGACACUGAGGUGCGAAAGCGUGGGGAGCAAACAGGAUUAGAUACCCUGGUAGUCCACGCCGUAAACGAUGUCAACAUAGGCCGUUGGGAGCUCUUGAGCUCUUAGUGGCGCAGCUAACGCAUUAAGUGACCGCUUGGGAGGCGCCCAUGAAAU